rnacentral:lncRNA from 1 species
UUUUUUUUUUUUUUUUUUUUUUUUUUUUUGAGAUGGAGCCGCCCAGGCUGGAGUGCAGUGGCCGGAUCUCAGCUCACUGCAAGCUCCACCUCCCGGGUUUACGCCAUUCUCCUGCCUCAGCCUCGCGAGUAGCUGGGACUACAGGCGCCCGCCACCUCCCGGCUAGUUUUUGUAUUUUUUUUAGUAGAGACGGGGUUUCACCGGGUUAGCCAGGAUGUUCUCGAUUUCCUGACCUCGUGAUCCGUCCGUCUCGGCCUCCCAAAGUGCUGGGAUUACAGGCUUGAGCCACCGAGCCCGGCCAAGACAUUUCUUUUCUUUUUCUACUUGCUUCUCUCCACUCUAUAUAGUGUGCUUCUUUCAGUGUUGCCCUUUUGUCUCUCUACCUGAAGGGAGGGUGAGAAAGAAGACUCUUCUGGACAGUGUGGAAGGUUAAUAUGAAGAAAGGCUAUGAAAAUUCACAUUCAUAACCUUUGAUCCCACUGCUUCAUAAUAGCUAAUAUUUAUGCAAUUCAUUUGAUCCUGUGCCUAAAAUGUCCCUCGGCCACUUCUUACGUAAUAAAUCCUCCCUUAUUUUGACAUGCGGGGGCAUCAAUCAAGUUAUUAUGUACAUACUUAACCUGGACCAUCAAUACAGGGCACACUAGCAAAGUCAGCUCUAGAUUGUGCUCCUUCUGGCUUUAAUACUUCUCUGAGUAUCUAAGAAGCAGGUCAGUGUAUUCUACCACCUCAAAUUCAUCAUGAGUGGUGGGCAAUUGAGACUGUGAGUGUCUUAUGGAUUAAACUAACGUCUUCCCAACCACGAGGAAAAGAGAGGACAGAGCUAAGUAGGGAACAUCUUGUUAAUUAAAAUGUCACCAUUUGUCCCAGUGGUAUAAGUGGGGUAAGAUUAGACCCCAGCCCAAAUAUAUGUAAUGUGCCACUUCUUCCUCCAGAUACCUGUUUUUCCUUCUUUUCUCCUACAUAGGUAAUUGAGGCAGAACAUGCUUUUUGGAGAGGCUGGGAACCAUACAAAGACAGGGGAAGAGAGUGCUAAUGAAGCCAUCCUGGGAAUAAACUUUUCCUGUCUUAUACCCAACUCCUUCGGGGGACAAAUGUCUGCCACCUCCUCUUUUAACUCCCCAGCCCUCACUGCACUGGCCAGGCUAUUUUACUUUAAUAUAAUCAUUUUAUAACCCUAUCCUGGGGUUACCCACUCUACUAGAGCUUCAUGUAAAUAAUACAGAAUCAAAAGAAAAAGUCAAGUGGCAGGUAAUGUGUCCUCCGGAGCAAAUGUUUGUCUUGUGUUUUACCCAGAACUUUUUAAAAUGUGCUUUGAAAACAAAAGACUGAUAAAAUGAACAUUACAGUUUGGUGAAAAUUAUGUCCCAGCGCCAGCUCUCCCAACAAGAAACCUGUCUUUCAAUCCCCUGUCCUAAGCACCAGGCAUAUCCACCACCGAGUGAAAGUAUAAAAAGACACUCUGCAGUCGCCUAAGAAUGGC